UCUUCUCUCACUGAGACCAGAGCAGGCAGUCCUCUGCUGUACGUGUGUCAGGGGCCUCAUAUACCAGCUUGUCCUCAGAAGGAAGAUUAGUCUAACAGUUGCCUGGGUACCUGGCUUCAUUGCCAGCCACUGUGCCUACCCUUGGCCCACAUCCCACCUUCUCUGUUCCUCAGCUGCCCUUUCUCUGAGCUCCCUCAGAUCUUUCUCCUGAGGCACCUGGUGCGGGAGGUCAUCCUUGACAUCUUUGCUCCCGUUUGUAGCCCUCUGCUGUUCUCUGCUGUGCUGUAUAUGGUCUGUUUGUCUCAUUGCGGCCUAUUUAUUUCCUUGUCCUGUAAACUCUGCUGCUACAAGAUCACUGUUAUUUUUUGUGUGUGCAGUUACUAUUAGAAGUCAGCUUUUACCAAAAAGAAAAUGUUUAUUAUUUUCCAGCUUUGAGUAUUUUUCUUCAUCAAAACGUGAGUAUCCUCGCCUGCUAAACACUCGGGAUGCAUUGUAGUUUGUAAGUAGUUUGGAAAGUAGACUAUCUUCACUCAUACUUGCUCAUGUGAGCUCUGUGAACAGGCAUCUCACAUGCACAUGGGUGUUCCUCAUUCUUAGAACUAUGUGUAGCAAUAGUGAGUACUAGGUAAGAAUAUCAAUUAAACCUUUCUCAAAGACAGAGUUCCCACCGCUGCACAUCAGAGUUCCCACCACUGCACAUCAGAGUUCCCACCGCUGCACAUCAGAGUUCCCACCGCUGCACAUCAGAGUUGUCACCGCUGCACAUCAGAGUUUCCACCGCUGCACAUCAGAGUUCCCACCGCUGCACAUCAGAGUUCCCACCGCUGCACAUCAGAGUUCCCACCGCUGCACAUCAGAGUUCUCACCACUGAAAGAACAUCUGGAACAUUCUUCCAAGUGAGAAUCAAAACAAUGACUUCAGAUGAAGCAGACCCACUGGAGUAAACACAGCCCGGAGGAUCCCGCAAAGGAGACUGGGAAUCAUGGAGAAGAGUGCAUGCUGAGGGGAGGAACAGGCAGGGACAGCAGGCAGCUCUGUGUGAGGGGGCAAUGGCCGGAGUGCUCCUAGGAACCAUUGUCCACAUUCUGUCGUCCUGAGCAGCAUGUAACUGAACUGCGGUGUGUCUACAAGGCUGCUGAGGCCAAGGAAAUGGGACUAGACGGCUGCUCCAUCACCCUGGACCACUGAGUAAGAACCCCUGAGAUCUGGAGCUGCUACCGUAGCCUGGCAUAGAUGAUACAAAGAGGAACCUCAUCACUGAACCAUACUGCCAUCUUCUCUUUUUCCCUCGGAAUGCUCAUCCUCACCAGGACUCCGGUCCAGUAGCUUCUCUGAGAAGGAUGUCUUUUACAGCCCUUCUUUGAAAACAUAAUAACAAGCUGAUGCACAAUUCUGAAUGAGGGAGCUAAGUAAGUGCUGCAGGGCCGAUGACCUCAGGCUGAGUGUUCAGUAUGACAAGGUAAAUGCUUUUGUCUAAAGCUUUUGCAUACAUUAAGAUGUCUCUGCUGGGAGGGCCAGAGGGACUGGGACACCUUUUUGUCUUUGUUUGUUUUGUUUUGUUUUGUUUGUGAGCUAAAGAUUUAGAUUCAGUCAGUAGGAAGCAAGCAAGCACCUGGACUACUCUGGAGGCAGAGACGGAAAGAAUGUUUGAACCUAGAAUUUGAACCCAGGAGAGAUGUGCGGAUCUCCUCUCAGGCCACAGUCUUGUAGCUAGUCCCUCAUCCUUUUCAUUAUACUUUUUUCUCUCAAGCUCUCAUUUUUGUUACUUUCUAUCUCCACCUCAAUAUUCAACAAACAUGAGUAUAGAGUGUAGAUGUUACAGUCAAAGACAAAAUCAUUAUCUAAGUAUAACUAGAAUAUUAUUUAUGUUCGAUUUUGGUCUAGGUUUUCAAACUUAAAAGAAAACCCAAACUACUACUUAUGCAAUUAAUGGAAUUUCAGGUGUAAAAACAGCAGUGUAUAAUUCUCCUCACAGUUAUCAGAAAGUUACCGUCUUCUGGCUUUAAACACCUUCAGCAGAGGUAGAACAUGGCCCAGUAUCUGAUGUUUGAAGUUAAAGGGUAAAGCUACACACUGUAACAGAACGCAGAGUCUUGGCCACACCUCAUCCUCCCAGCUUCCACCCCAGAAUCUCCGAUGCCUUCUCUGUUCUGCCCCACCGGAAGGAACAGAACCUGAGAGGCUGAUCUACAUUUGACCUCCUUUCUUCAGAACCCAACAACAUGCAUGCCAGAAGUGAUGGGUCAAGCCCAUAAUCUCAGCCAAUGGGAGGCUAAGGUAGGAGGGCCGCCACGCAUUUGAGACCCUGACGAUAUUCUCUAUAAAUCGCCAAAGGGCAAGUCCAAAGCCAACCAAGCGGGUGUUGUUGUUGUUGUUGUUGUUGGAUUCGUUUUCCACCACAGUGAUUUUGGUAACUUGGUCUUGCAGUAAUUUUUCAGAUGUGUUUUAAUGGGAGCUCCUGGGCUUCAGGUCCCUAGGGCCAUCAUUUAGAAAUUCACUAAAUGACUCACCAAACAUAGUGUCAAGUACAUGAAGCCAAAAUUCAUCAUGGCUAUGUCACAAGAAUGUUUGUUCAGGCAGCUUGAAGAUUUUCUCCCAGGACCUGUGGGCUUCCUGUGUUCUCCUUCUCACCAUGCUCAAACAAAGCCUCUUUAUCAGGAAGAUGGAGUAAACUGUGUGAUCCAUUUGCAUAUUACCACCCACCAGAGACUAUCUGUUUUGGUCUUUGUCCUUGAGGCUGGAGCAGGUAGGGAUUCCAUGUACUAAUGCUUCACACAUCCAAAAGGAAAAACAAAUGUUCAACAGUUCAGGCACUGUGUCCCACAAUAAUUUAGGAACAGUCCUGUAAAAUAAUAAAGAAAUCCCACCAAACAAAAUCUCAGGCCCCAGAGAGCAGGCUUUGCUAGCGAUGAUUGAUAUAGUCUUAGGCCUGCGUGGAUAACCACCUUUCAGACUUACUUUAUCUAGAAUACUCUGAGCCAUUUCAACUUGCACACCAGUAAAAGUGUAUGUCACUACUCAUUUGAUAUUUCUUCC